AUUGAACGCUGGCGGCAGGCCUAACACAUGCAAGCCGAACGAGUGGCGGACGGGUGAGUAAUGUCUGGGAAACUGCCUGAUGGAGGGGGAUAACUUCUGGAAACGGUAGCUAAUACCGCAUACCAUCAGAUGCGCCCAGAUGGGAUUAGCUUGUUGGUGGGGUAACGGCUCACCAAGGAGACGAUCCCUAGCUGGUCUGCGAGGAUGCCCAGCCACGCUGGAACGGGGGCUCGGCCCAGACUCCUACGGAAGGCAGCCGUGGGGGAUAUUGCACAAUGGGCGCAGGCCUGAAGCGGCCAGGCCGCGUGUAUGAAGAAGGCCAUCGGUCUGUACAGUACUUUCGGCGGGGAGACGUUUCCCGCAGCAGGAGCACCGGCUCACACCGUGCCAGCAGCCGCGGUAAUAC
rnacentral:rRNA from 1 species